GAUGCAGCAACGCCGCGUGGGUGAAGGAGCGUUUCGGCGCGUAAAGCCCUGUCAGCGGGAAAGAAGAAAGACGGUACCCGACCAAGAAGCCCCGGCUAACUACGUGCCAGCAGCCGCGGUAAUACGUAGGGGGCGAGCGUUAUCCGGAAUUACUGGGUGUAAAGGGAGCGUAGACGGCGAGGUAAGCCUGAAGUGGAAGCCCGCGGCCCAACCGCGGAACUGCUUUGGGAACUGUUUUGCUGGAGUAUGGGAGGGGUAAGCGGAAUUCCUGGUGUAGCGGUGAAAUGCGUAGAUAUCAGGAGGAACACCGGUGGCGAAGGCGGCUUACUGGACCAUAACUGACGUUGAGGCUCGAAAGCGUGGGGAGCGAACAGGAUUAGAUACCCUGGUAGUCCACGCCGUAAACGAUGAUUACCAGGUGUCGGGUGUCGAAGGACGGCCG
rnacentral:rRNA from 1 species